CGGCGCGCAGCCCUAGAUCUCCAACCCCUUCCCCUUCCCCCACCCCGCCGGUGGCCUCGCGCCGUCCGCCGGAGUCGCUUCUGCAGCUCGGUCCCCAGGUGAGGAUGGGAGGCGGGCUCCGCGAGAAACGGGGUCCAGGCGGGGGCGGGCGCCGUGGGGCCGCCAGGGCUGGUCUGGCCUCCAGCUUCACUCCCACCUCCAUUCCGGGACCCGCAGCUGGCCCCCUGCUGUGGGCCGGGAAAAGUGGGGGUUACCCUGGGGACUUACUGCUGGAGAAGUACGGUACGGUCUUUCCGCUGAGCGCUCAUGGCUACCCUCGGGAAAGUGCGCUCUCGCUGCGCUGCCGCCGAGCCUGUGAGCCUCCCAGCCUCCCGACGGACUAAGGGCAGUUGACCCCUGCCACGAGUCAGUGACACCGGUGGUCUGGGCUACCUUCCUGAGGACCGAACUGUGCUCCAGUCUCAGGCUGCUGUGGUCCUCCGCAACCUUGGGACGCUUUGUCACUCGGCGCAGACAGAGGAAGAGCGAGGCUCAGAGUGACUUGCCAAGAGGUUGCCACGCUCCCUGCUACUCCCUUUAGCCCACACUCCUGUGGGAUCCGCAGCCAAGCGUUUACAGAUGAAGAAACGGACUGUGAGGGGCCGCGGGUCCUCCCGGGGUCACUCGGCUGAAUGUAAGCUCCACCAAAGCAGUGAUUUCUGUCUACCUUCCUAUUUCCAGCAUCAGGCACACAGGAUGUUGAAGGAGCACAUACAGUAAUAGAAUGGAAAAGCUCUGGGCAAUGCUGGGGACCGGGGACCCUGGCACACGCCACCCCCACCACACCCCUGGGCAGCAGGAUGAUGGCGGUGCAGGAGUGUUGAAGCACCACAGAAAGGCACGAAAUAAAGAACAAAAUCCCACUCGGCCUCAGUUCCACUCAGCAUUUCUGUUUUCAUAUAACCUAAUUGUACAUAAUA